UCUUCUGAAGGAAGUGAUGCCCCAAAAGAAAAUCAAUAAACUCACUCGCUAGAUUCUUUUUUCUUUUCUCCUGGGUCUUCUGGAUAUUUUUUCCUCAUAUUGGAAUGAGGUUCACAUCAUUGCUAACAUAUGAUACCAGCACACCUCACCUGAAGAUCCUCAACACCGUCUACAGGAAAGAGCAAACAAUGGGUGAUCUGUUACUUGAUUUGACACUCACAUCAAUCAUCUCAGAUCAUGCUGCAUCAACUUUAGAAGAAUAACUAAAAGGUUCUUGUCAAGUUAUAUUAGUUCCUUCAUAAGGAAGCUGAGGAUCUAACAGAAUUAGAAAUAGGGUCAAGUACACUUGGUUUAAUGAGGCCAGAGAAUAUCCCAUGCAUUUAACUAGCAAUGCUGUGAACAUCCUUGAGUUAAAAUGAAAUAAAAAGAGUUCCCAAG